rnacentral:rRNA from 1 species
GACGAACGCUGGCGGCGUGCUUAACACAUGCAAGUCGAACGGAAAGGCCCCUUUGGGGGUACUCGAGUGGCGAACGGGUGAGUAACACGUGAGUAACCUGCCCUUGCCUUCGGGAUAACUUCAGGAAACUGGGGCUAAUACCGGAUAGGAAUCCUUGCUGCAUGGUGGGGGUUGGAAAGCUUCGGCGGUUUUGGAUGGACUCGCGGCGUAUCAGCUUGUUGGUGGGGUAGUGGCUUACCAAGGCUUUGACGGGUAGCCGGCCUGAGAGGGCGACCGGCCACAUUGGGACUGAGAUACGGCCCAGACUCCUACGGGAGGCAGCAGUGGGGAAUAUUGCACAAUGGGCGGAAGCCUGAUGCAGCAACGCCGCGUGCGGGAUGACGGCCUUCGGGUUGUAAACCGCUUUCAGCAGGGGCGAAGCUUGUGGUGACGGUACCUGCAGAAGAAGCACCGGCUAACUACGUG